rnacentral:rRNA from 1 species
UACGUAGGGCGCAAGCGUUGUCCGGAAUUAUUGGGCGUAAAGAGCUCGUAGGCGGCUUGUCACGUCGGGUGUGAAAGCCCGGGGCUUAACCCCGGGUCUGCAUUCGAUACGGGCUGGCUAGAGUGUGGUAGGGGAGAUCGGAAUUCCUGGUGUAGCGGUGAAAUGCGCAGAUAUCGGGAAGAACACCUAUGGCGAAGGCAGCUCUCUGGGACGGUACUGACGCUGAGACGCGAAAGCGUGGGGAGUAAACAGG